rnacentral:rRNA from 1 species
UACAGGGGGGGCAAGCGUUGUUCGGAAUUACUGGGCGUAAAGGGCUCGUAGGCGGCCAACUAAGUCCGACGUGAAAUCCCCAAGCUUAACUUGGGAACUGCGUCGGAUACUGGAUGGCUUGAAUUCGGGAGAGGGAUGCAGAAUUCCUGGUGUAGCGGUGAAAUGCGCAGAUAUCAGGAGGAACACCGGUGGCGAAGGCGGGUCUCUGGGCAACAACUGACGCUGGAGGCACGGAAAGCUAGGGGAGCAAACAGG